AGAACAGGAUCACUAUGAUAUAACCUGAAAAAAGUGGGUGUUACAAAUUUAGAUACAGUAGUAAGUAGAACUAUGCAGUGCACACAUCAUUCACACUCAAAAGUUUGUCAUAACCCCUCACCCCAUCACACAAUUAAGCAAGGGAACAUUUGGAAAGUUAGACUUCAUCUAUCUAUGAGUGUAUGAGUAGUGAUGUAACAUUGUUUUAGUAAAAUCACUAAUCAAAAUGAACUUUCUCUGUGAAAUCUCUAUGUUGAACAAAUGCAUCUGCGGUUUUAUAUGAUUUUGAACUUCAGUAUAAUUUAGGCAAUUCAAAAUGAGCUGCUUCUCUUACAAAAUUAACGUGUUAUAGCAAAAAUUGCACUACUAAAUGAGGUUUGAAGCUAAGGAGUUAGGACCAUAUCUGCAAUAUCUUUUUUUUUUUGGAAGGGAGCUAA
rnacentral:misc_RNA from 1 species